rnacentral:tRNA from 1 species
AGCUUUAUAGUCAAGUAUGAUAUUAGACUGCAAUUCUAGAGGAGUAAGGGUUUCACCUUUCUAAGGCUU